rnacentral:rRNA from 1 species
GACGAACGCUGGCGGCGUGCCUAAUACAUGCAAGUUGAGCGCUUAAGGUUGGUUCUUGUCCCAACUGGAUGAGCAGCGAACGGGUGAGUCACGCGUGGGUAAUCUGCCUUUGAGCGGGGGACAACAUUAGGAAACGUAUGCUAAUACCGCAUAUAAACUUUAAACACAAGUUUUAAGUUUGAAAGAUCUAAUUGCAUCACUUAAAGCUGAUCCCGCGUUGUAUUAGCUAGUUGGUGAGGUAAAGGCUCACCAAGGCGGUGAUACAUAGCCGACCUGUGCGGGUGAUCGGCCACAUUGGGACUGAGACACGGCCCAAACUUCUACGGGAGGCAGCAGUAGGGAAUCUUCGGACAGGGACGAAAGUCUGACCGAGCAACUCCACGGGAGUGAAGAAGGUUCUCGGAUCGUAAAACUCUGUUGGUAGAGAAGAACGUUGGUUAGAGUGGAAAGCUCAUCAAGUGACGGUAACUACCCAAAAAGGGACGGCUAACUACGUG